rnacentral:misc_RNA from 1 species
AACAAGGCGUACCUGCGGACCUGCGGAGGGAUCAUUACCGAGUGUGGCCCCCUUUCUAUAUAAAAGAGGGGUACCUCCCGUCCUUUGCAGGCCCUUUUUAAGGGGCUUUUUGACUUUGCUUCGGCGGGUUUAACCCCCCGCCGGAACACCCUCAAGAAAAUCUUUUAUGAACUUUGUUGUCCGAGUUUACUUGCGGAUAAAUCAAAACUUUCAACAACGGAUCUCAGAUCGGAAGAGCAC